UAUGAGGUUGGAGAUUUUGGUGUUUGAUACGAUUGGUGUAAUGACCCACCACUCGCACCAUCUCCACUUCUUUCUCCAACCCCACCACUUCCACCUUCUUCUCCACCAUCUCCACCUUCUUCCCCACCAUCUCCAUCUUCUUUAAAGCUUGAGAAAGAGAGAGAGAGAGAAAGAGUGAGAGAAGAAGGAGAAGAAGGGAGAAAGCUCACCUGAGCUCGUCGCCGGAGCAACCGUGUGCCGUGACCACGUUCAGCUUGCCACCACCGAUAAACACCCUAGACUACCAUCGUGUUCCUCUCGUCAAGACGAAGCCGUAGACACCAACCGCGUCGCGAUCGGAGCCCGUACGAAUCCGUACGCGCUUCCGGAAGUUUCGCCUCUGCGAGCGCGUGAGUUCCACGCGCCGCCGCCGGACCACCGUCCUCCGCCGCAGCUCCGCCGUCGCCGCCGGCCAACUUACCGAUUUGGAGUCUAUUUGAGCAUCUGGAGUUCAUAUAUACCACUUCUUCUGGUUGCUAAGGUGAGACCGACGAGCAGGAGUGAUUAUACCGGACCGGUGCUUUUGGGCUUUUACUACUAUUGGGCUUUUGGGCUUCUAUCGUUUUAUCGCUUUUAUCGUUAUCGGGCCUCUAGACCUUUGGGCUUUUAUCGUUUAUGUUAUUUCGUAUUUCAGACUCUCGGUUUAUGUCGUACUUUAUGUUUCAGAUUUUAUUUUAUAUUAUGGAAUUCAAGCGUGGAUGUUGACUUUCAAAUAUUUAUAUAUGGAUAUUUCAGAUA